GGUCAGUGGCUCUCAGCGCCAGAUUCCGACGCACAAGGCACCCUUUAGCAUCUGUAUGGGAUGCACCGGGCAUAGCAGCAGCUCGACCGUGGCGCUGUGAGAUGACGAAGAGCGACAACAGUUAAAGCUAAUCAAU